rnacentral:rRNA from 1 species
UACGAAGGGGGCUAGCGUUGCUCGGAAUCACUGGGCGUAAAGCGCACGUAGGCGGCCUCUUAAGUCGGUGGUGAAAUCCUGGAGCUCAACUCCAGAACUGCCUCCGAUACUGGGAGCCUUCGAGUCCGGGAGAGGUGAGUGGAACUGCGAGUGUAGAGGUGAAAUUCGUAGAUAUUCGCAAGAACACCAGUGGCGAAGGCGGCUCACUGGCCCGGUACUGACGCUGAGGUGCGAAAGCGUGGGGAGCAAACAGG